GACGAACGCUGGCGGCGUGCUUAACACAUGCAAGUCGAGCGGAGCGGCGCACGGGUGAGUAACGCGUGAGUAACUGCCCCCCUCUCUGGGAACAAAGUUGGAAACGGGUGCUAAUACCGGAUAGUGGGGGAUGACUCGCGUGCUAUCCGCUUGUUGAUGGGGUAGUGGCCUACCAAGGCGAAGCCGGGGAGCCGGCCGGGGCGGGCGACCGGCCACAUUGGGCUGAGAUACGGGCCCAACUCUUACGGGAGGCAGCAGUGGGGAAUAUUGCACAAUGGGGGAAACCCUGAUGCAGCAACGCGCGGGCGGGAUGACGGCCUUCGGGGUGUAAACCGCUUUCAGCCAUGACGCGGUAGUGGCAGAAGAAGCACCGGCUAACUACGUGCCAGCAGCCGCGGUAAUAC
rnacentral:rRNA from 1 species